rnacentral:rRNA from 1 species
UGGGGAAUAUUGCGCAAUGGGCGAAAGCCUGACGCAGCGACGCCGCGUGAGGGAUGACGGCCUUCGGGUUGUAAACCUCUUUCAGCUCUGACGAAGCGAGAGUGACGGUAGGAGCAGAAGAAGCACCGGCCAACUACGUGCCAGCAGCCGCGGUAAUACGUAGGGUGCAAGCGUUGUCCGGAAUUAUUGGGCGUAAAGAGCUCGUAGGCGGUCUGUCGCGUCGAAUGUGAAAACCCGGGGCUCAACCCCGGGCCUGCAUUCGAUACGGGCAGACUAGAGUUCGGUAGGGGAGUCUGGAAUUCCUGGUGUAGCGGUGAAAUGCGCAGAUAUCAGGAGGAACACCGGUGGCGAAGGCGGGACUCUGGGCCGAUACUGACGCUGAGGAGCGAAAGCGUGGGGAGCAAACA